UUAUGGCUCAGAUUGAACGCUGGCGGCAGGCCUAACACAUGCAAGUCGAGCGGUAGCACAGAGAGCUUGCUCUCGGGUGACGAGCGGCGGACGGGUGAGUAAUGUCUGGGAAACUGCCUGAUGGAGGGGGAUAACUACUGGAAACGGUAGCUAAUACCGCAUAACGUCGCAAGACCAAAGUGGGGGACCUUCGGGCCUCAUGCCAUCAGAUGUGCCCAGAUGGGAUUAGCUAGUAGGUGGGGUAACGGCUCACCUAGGCGACGAUCCCUAGCUGGUCUGAGAGGAUGACCAGCCACACUGGAACUGAGACACGGUCCAGACUCCUACGGGAGGCAGCAGUGGGGAAUAUUGCACAAUGGGCGCAAGCCUGAUGCAGCCAUGCCGCGUGUGUGAAGAAGGCCUUCGGGUUGUAAAGCACUUUCAGCGGGGAGGAAGGCGAUAAGGUUAAUAACCUUGUCGAUUGACGUUACCCGCAGAAGAAGCACCGGCUAACUCCGUGCCAGCAGCCGCGGUAAUACGGAGGGUGCAAGCGUUAAUCGGAAUUACUGGGCGUAAAGCGCACGCAGGCGGUCUGUCAAGUCGGAUGUGAAAUCCCCGGGCUUAACCUGGGAACUGCAUUCGAAACUGGCAGGCUAGAGUCUUGUAGAGGGGGGUAGAAUUCCAGGUGUAGCGGUGAAAUGCGUAGAGAUCUGGAGGAAUACCGGUGGCGAAGGCGGCCCCCUGGACAAAGACUGACGCUCAGGUGCGAAAGCGUGGGGAGCAAACAGGAUUAGAUACCCUGGUAGUCCACGCCGUAAACGAUGUCGAUUUGGAGGUUGUGCCCUUGAGGCGUGGCUUCCGGAGCUAACGCGUUAAAUCGACCGCCUGGGGAAUACGGCCGCAAGGUUAAAACUCAAAUGAAUUGACGGGGGCCCGCACAAGCGGUGGAGCAUGUGGUUUAAUUCGAUGCAACGCGAAGAACCUUACCUGGUCUUGACAUCCACAGAACUUUCCAGAGAUGGAUUGGUGCCUUCGGGAACUGUGAGACAGGUGCUGCAUGGCUGUCGUCAGCUCGUGUUGUGAAAUGUUGGGUUAAGUCCCGCAACGAGCGCAACCCUUAUCCUUUGUUGCCAGCGGUCCGGCCGGGAACUCAAAGGAGACUGCCAGUGAUAAACUGGAGGAAGGUGGGGAUGACGUCAAGUCAUCAUGGCCCUUACGACCAGGGCUACACACGUGCUACAAUGGCAUAUACAAAGAGAAGCGACCUCGCGAGAGCAAGCGGACCUCAUAAAGUAUGUCGUAGUCCGGAUUGGAGUCUGCAACUCGACUCCAUGAAGUCGGAAUCGCUAGUAAUCGUAGAUCAGAAUGCUACGGUGAAUACGUUCCCGGGCCUUGUACACACCGCCCGUCACACCAUGGGAGUGGGUUGCAAAAGAAGUAGGUAGCUUAACCUUCGGGAGGGCGCUUACCACUUUGUGAUUCAUGACUGGGGUGAAGUCGUAACAAGGU
rnacentral:rRNA from 1 species